rnacentral:rRNA from 1 species
GAUGAACGCUGGCGGCGUGCCUAAUACAUGCAAGUCGAACGCACAGCGAAAGGUGCUUGCCCCUUUCAAGUGAGUGGCGAACGGGUGAGUAACACGUGGACAACCUGCCUCAAGGCUGGGGAUAACAUUUGGAAACAGAUGCUAAUACCGAAUAAAACUUAGUGUCGCAUGACACAAAGUUAAAAGGCGCUUCGGCGUCACCUAGAGAUGGAUCCGCGGUGCAUUAGUUAGUUGGUGGGGUAAAGGCCUACCAAGACAAUGAUGCAUAGCCGAGUUGAGAGACUGAUCGGCCACAUUGGGACUGAGACACGGCCCAAACUCCUACGGGAGGCUGCAGUAGGGAAUCUUCCACAAUGGGCGAAAGCCUGAUGGAGCAACGCCGCGUGUGUGAUGAAGGCUUUCGGGUCGUAAAGCACUGUUGUAUGGGAAGAACAGCUAGAAUAGGAAAUGAUUUUAGUUUGACGGUACCAUACCAGAAAGGGACGGCUAAAUACGU